AACGAACGCUGGCGGCAUGCCUAACACAUGCAAGUCGAACGAGACCUUCGGGUCUAGUGGCGCACGGGUGCGUAACGCGUGGGAACCUGCCCUUAGGUUCGGAAUAACUCCCCGAAAGGGGUGCUAAUACCGGAUAAUGUCUUCGACCCAAAGAUUUAUCGCCUUUGGAUGGGCCCGCGUUGGAUUAGCUAGUUGGUAGGGUAAAAGCCUACCAAGGCGACGAUCCAUAGCUGGUCUGAGAGGAUGAUCAGCCACACUGGGACUGAGACACGGCCCAGACUCCUACGGGAGGCAGCAGUGGGGAAUAUUGGACAAUGGGCGAAAGCCUGAUCCAGCAAUGCCGCGUGAGUGAUGAAGGCCUUAGGGUUGUAAAGCUCUUUUACCCGGGAUGAUAAUGACAGUACCGGGAGAAUAAGCUCCGGCUAACUCCG
rnacentral:rRNA from 1 species